AUCGAACGCUGGCGGCAUGCCUAACACAUGCAAGUCGAACGAGUGGCGGACGGGUGAGUAAGGUAUGGGAAACUGCCUGAUGGAGGGGGAUAACUACUGGAACAGGUAGCUAAUGCCGCAUACCAUCCGUUGUGCCCUGAUGGGAUUAGCUAGUGGGGGUGGUAACGGCUAACAAGGGCGACGAUCCCUACCUGGUCUGAGAGGAUGACCGGCCACACUGGAACUGAGACACGGUCCAGACUCCUACGGGAGGCAGCAGUGGGGAAUCUUGGCCAAUGGGCGAAAGCCUGAUGCAGCCAUGCCGCGUGUGUGAAGAAGGCCUUCGGGUUGUAAAGUACUGUCGGCGGGGAGGCGUUACCCGCAGAAGAAGCACCGGCUAACUACGUGCCAGCAGCCGCGGUAAUAC
rnacentral:rRNA from 1 species